GUAUCCAACCUGCCCUUCACCACGGGAUAACCCGGCGAAAGUCGGACUAAUACCGUAUGUUGUCCAUUGACGGCAUCCGAUUUGGACGAAAGGCUUUGCGGUGAGGGAUGGGGAUGCGUCCGAUUAGCUUGACGGCGGGGUAACGGCCCACCGUGGCGACGAUCGGUAGGGGUUCUGAGAGGAAGGUCCCCCACACUGGAACUGAGACACGGUCCAGAUUCCUACGGGAGGCAGCAGUGAGGAAUAUUGGUCAAUGGGCGGAAGCCUGAACCAGCCAAGUAGCGUGCAGGAUGACGGCCCUAUGGGUUGUAAACUGCUUUUAUGCGGGGAUAAAGGAGCCCACGUGUGGGUUUUUGCAGGUACCGCAUGAAUAAGGACCGGCUAAUUCCGUGCCAGCAGCCGCGGUAAUACGGAAGGUCCGGGCGUUAUCCGGAUUUAUUGGGUUUAAAGGGAGCGUAGGCCGCGCCUUAAGCGUGUUGUGAAAUCCGGGUGCUCAACAUCCGGCUUGCAGCGCGAACUGGGGCGCUUGAGUGCGCUGAAAGUAGGCGGAAUUCGUGGUGUAGCGGUGAAAUGCUUAGAUAUCACGAGGAACUCCGAUUGCGAAGGCAGCUUACUGUAGCGCUACUGACGCUGAUGCUCGAAAGCGUGGGUAUCGAACAGGAUUAGAUACCCUGGUAGUCCACGCGGUAAACGAUGGAUGCUCGUUGUCGGCCCUUGGGGUCGGUGACCAAGCGAAAGCGUUAAGCAUCCCACCUGGGGAGUACGCCGGCAACGGUGAAACUCAAAGGAAUUGACGGGGCCCCGCACAAGCGGCGGAGCAUGCGGAUUAAUUCGAUGCAACGCGAAGAACCCUUACCUGGGUUUGACAUAUGCCGGGAAGCGUUCAGAGAUGGGCGUGCCUUUUUGGUCGGUUUACAGGUGGUGCAUGGCUGUCGUCAGCUCGUGUCGUGAGAUGUUGGGUUAAGUCCCGCAACGAGCGCAACC
rnacentral:rRNA from 1 species